rnacentral:tRNA from 4 species
GCCGGCGUGGCGAAAUGGUACACGCAGUUGACUCAAAAUCAACCGGUGGAAACACCUUGGGGGUUCGAGUCCCCCCGCCGGCACCA